AGCACAAUUUAUACGGACCUUCCAUGGUUAAUAUUCCCCUGCCAGUUUGUCCGCCAGUGUUGUGCGAG
rfam:Trypanosoma congolense IL3000, WGS project CAEQ01000000 data, contig: 290